rnacentral:lncRNA from 10 species
CUCGGAGGUCUUCUGCUUCUUCAGAGGUCCUGUUUUUCUCCUUGACAUCCUUAAAUGCUCCAUAGUAAGCGCGAUACUGUUUUGAAGAAAAACAUUCCAUUAUGAUGUGGAAAGGUUAAUGGCAGCAAUGGAUUCACUUACUUCACCUAAGUUACUGUAAGAACAUGACAGCUUAGCUUGGAACACCCAUUUUUGGUACAUUUACAAGUAGCUAAGGCCACAGCAGCUGAUGGGUGCAAGUGGGGAGCUGGGAAGGUGGGGUGUGGCCAGACCUGGGAGGUGGGAAGGAAGCUGAGUACUUGUCGGAGACCCAGUCUGAUUAAGUCCCUGAAGGCUAUUCUACCUGCUGGGCUCAAGUUUCUAGGUCCCUGCCAGGCCAUGAAGAUCUGCUGAAUCUUUUAGAAACAGGGUCAGCAUGCUUUCAUAAAUACAGAAUCUCUUUCUAGCUAGUGUCCUUGCACUUACUUUCUUCAGUUCUCCUUUCUUUCUUCUCCCUGCUUCCUAUCUUCUCCUAUUAGUUCUCUCAGAAAUAAGUCACACCUGUGAAAUGUCAUAUGUAUGGAGACACCAAUAGAAUGGAAGCUUUUAAUCAAUGUGAAGAGAUUGGAAAUAUGACAAUGAAAAGACCUGAGAUGACUUGGAAAAAAAUACUGUUCAACUCAUGUAAAUUGCUAUACUUAUUUUUAGCACAAAUUGUUACUUUUUCAUGGUUGACAUCCUUUUUUUUUUUCUUGUUCAAUCUAGAAGGCAAAAACAUGCACAAAAAUAUAAGGCUGCCUUACCUAGGUCCAACCAACUCCUCUUGUCUUGAUCUUCCCUGAGGUCUCUGUAGCCUCCUUGGAGCCCUGCAAAGUGCCUCAAACAACAGCUUUUCCUCCCAUUCAGCCAACACUGAUCUCUAGAUCAGCACAACCAUUGCUUUCCACUCUGCCUAAGGCUGGCCACUUUUUUCUUUUUUCCAUUACAUUCUCUAUGCCUACAAUUCUAAAUACAUUUUAGGAUAAAUGGACUCUAAUGGAACAGGAAGCGUGCAAACUCAACAUUAGUAAGAAGGGAUAUGGAUAAGAGACUGGACCCAUUCGAGGCAAUCAGAGAGCAUCUCCUGGAGAAGAUGCAUUUUUCCCAUAAUCAUUUCCUUACUGUUCUACUUUCUUCUCUGUAGAGCAUUUCAGCAGGCUCAGCCACUCCAAUCUAGUGCAUUUAGGAAGACACCUUACACUGGACUCAGCUGUUUAAUCUGGAUGCCCUCGCCCAUCUGAAGUCGGGCGGGGGCGGAGGGAAUCUUAACAACUUCUCCAUAACAUAAAUAUUGUAUUUGAUUAAUCUUGAUGAAAAGUUUGUUGGAGUAUGAUUUUUAAAAUUCACUUUAAUGCUGAACACUUAACUAGAUUGAAUUUUCAAAUUUCCAGUUUGAUACAAUCGGAAGAAAGUGCAAGUGUAGAGAAUAUGGCAUGAGCUUCAGAGGCAUUCUCUAAGGCAUAUAACAUAUUUUCAGGCCGGGCACGGUGGCUCACGCCUGUAAUCCCAGCACUCUGGGAGGCUGAGGUGGGUGGAUCAUUUGAGGUCAGGAGUUCGAGACCAGCCUGGCCAACAUGGUGAAACACCGUCUCUACUAAAAAUACAAAAAUCAGCCGGGCAUGGUGGUGGGCGCCUGUAAUCCCAGCUACUCGGGAGGCUGAGGCAGGAGAAUUGCUUGAACCUGGGAGGCCGAGGUUGUAGUGCGCCUAGAUUGUGCCAUUGUACUCCAGCCUGGGUGACAAGAGUGAAACACUGUCUCAAAAAACAAACAAAAAAACAUAUUUUCACCCAAAUCAUUUUUACCUUAGAAAACCACAAUGUCCUGGAGGUUGGUGGGGGAGCAGGGAUGGAUGAGAGAGGGUGUGCGUGUAUAUACUAGGCGUUACGAGAGAGAGGGUCUGUAAGCCAGGUAAAGAUAAGUACAAGCUAUUUAAUCACUUGUCAGAAUCCAUGAAAUCAGAGAUGAGAGAGCUCUCCUGUGUAUGCCAUUUUGAGGAGCAGAAAGAAUAGGUGCGAUGCUCCUUUCAAAGGAGGCUGUUGGAGGCCCGUAAGGGACAACAGGCAAGUGAUGGGCCCAGGGAAAGGGUCUGAGGUAGAUUUAAAGGGAUAGAGCAGAGGGCAAGGUCUGUUGUGUUACAGUGCGUGGACUGGAUAGAAGAGGGCAUCAGAAGCCAGAGAGGGCUGCCUGGCAGGGAUGUCCAGGAGGUGGCAACAACAUUAUUUCAAUGACUCCCAACUCCAUCAGAGGGCGUUCUUCUCACACCAAUUCUUUCUGGAUAUUGAGCACUUUUAAAAAUGCCCAUGUAUUUUUUUUUUUUUUUUAAGACAGAGUCUCACUCUGUCACCCAGGCUGGGGUGCAGUGGCACAAUCAAGGCUCAAUGCAGCCUUGACCUUCUGGGCCCAAGCAAUCCUCCCACCUCAGCCAAGUAGCUGGGACUACAGGCAUGUGUCACCACGCCUGGCUAGUUAUUUUUAUUUUUUUUGUAGAGGCAGGGUCUCACUGUGUUGCCCAGGCUGGUCUCAAACACCUGGGCUCAAACAGUCCUCCUGAUUUGGCCUCCCAAAAUGCUACGAUUACAAGUGUGAGCCACCAGCCCCAAUGAACAAUACAUUUCUAAUACAAAUCCAGUGACUUGAAUGUCAACCUAAUGGAUUUGACAUGGAUAAAUGCUGCCUAGAAAAUAAAAUAAUUUGUUUUAAUUAUGCUAGUAUCAUUCAGUUGUCUAGAUCCCAACUAAUCAAGCAUUCUCAAAUAGUUGGAACUAUAUUUUGCCACACUCCACUUUGAGGAGAAAGGGGCAAAUAGAAAAAAAACUCAUGUAAAAUGUUUUCUUUUUAAGUCAACUUAACCAUAUAGCUUAUUGUCACCCAUGUCUCCCCCUUCAGAUAAAGAUACAAUUGCUAGGUCCAUUACUUAGAAGAGUGUAAAAUCUCCAAUACCUAUUCAAUGUGUCCAGUAGGUCAAAACUACUGUCAUUACAAACAUGUGAUUUGCCUUUUUCCCCUUCAUUCUCUCACAAGUGUACAGUGAAUUUUAUGGAGGCUAGAUAACAAAUGAUGACAUCACUUUCACAAAGAAUAGAAUAUGUGGUUGUUUAUCCUUGUGUUUUCUAGACCUUUUAAGGUGGCAGGUUGAGGGUACACACGUGAAUUUUCAGAGACUGUUUUCAGUACUUUUGUGCUCUUAACAGGAUUUUUCCACUUUACUUGCUAUAAUCUCUGUAACCUUAUUGUCAUCAAAUCAUUGUGAAAUCCCCACAUUUUCCUUGUACAUAUGGAAAACACAAGAGGUACAUUUUAUCUUGUUUUGCAAUCAUAUGUUUAGAAUUUCUUAGUUUUAUUUUCUAAUAUGAGAAAUACUGAUGAUUUAAUCCACAUAAAAGCCAUCUGGGUCAUUAAUAAUUUUAAGAGUAUAAAGGGGUCCUUAGACCAAAAAAAAGUUUCAGAGCCACUGCCUUAGUAUAUAGCACUAUCUCCUGGGACGAUAAUCGUUCUUGAUUUUUUUUUAUGUCCAGCAGGCAACAAUAAUACAUGGAAGUUAUAAAUAGUAAUAAUAAUGAUGCUAAUAUAUUGAGGCAAGACACUGGGCUAGGUGAUGAAUGUAUAUAUUAUGUAUGUAAUUUCAAAUCUUCAUUACUAUCUUACAAAACAAGUAUGGUUAUAAUCAUUUUACAGAUGAGGAAACUGAGGUCAGAAAGGGUAAAUUAGCUGCUACCAUAGCUAGUAAGUGAUGAAGCCUGAUUCAAAACCAUGUCUGAUGCUAAAGCCCUUAUCCUCUCUAGAAAAUAGUGGUUCUUGUGAAGAAUGCUGUCAACAUUAAAUAUAUUUGGAACUUGCUAGUUUUUUUGGAAAAUCUUUUUCAACUCCAUUGAUUUUCUUCAAUCCUCACAAUACCCUAGGAGUUAUCCAAGUCUCCGUAGAGACAUGUCCAAAUGCAAUGUUCUUUCCACUGUAUGAUGCUGCUUUCUGCAUUGGUCUGACUAAAACAUUCAAACUCAGGUCAAAAUUUCCAUGCAUUUGGCUACUGUCUACUUUGUCACAGCAUAGAUAAGUGAGGCCCCAACUUUACAAUAGGAGCUCCUAAAGAUUGUAUAAAGGACCAGAUAGUAACUAUUUUAGGUUUUAUGGCCAAGAGACAAAAUCAUAAAUAUUUGAUAGGUACUAAUAUAACAUGGGAGAAAACACAUUUCCACAAUUUUUUGAUGGAAUUCAAAAUGUAUUAAUAAUUGAGUACAAUUUUUUUUUUAGAUGGAGUCUUGCUCUGUCGCCCAGGCUGGAGUGCAGUGACACAGUCUUGGCUCACUGCAACCUCUGCCUCCCAGGUUCAAGCGAUUCUCCUGCCUCAGCCUCCUGAGAAGCUGGGACUACAAGUGCAUGCCACCACGCCCAGGUAAUUUUUGUAUUUUUAGAGACGGGGUUUCACCAUGUUGGCCAGGAUGGUCUCGAUCUCUUGACCUCAUGAUCUGCCCGCCUCGGCCUCCCAAAGUGCUGUGAUUACAGGCGUGAGUCACCGCUCCCGGCUGAGUACAAUUUUUUUGUAAUAUGUAUCUACUAAGGAGAAGAAUAAAACGUUUUCUUGGAACAGUAUUUUUCUUGAAAUAGUAUUUGGCUCAAUUGAAGCUCAAAACUCUUGGGUCUCAUCAAAUUGAUUGCAGAGAUUCAUUUGUAAGAAUUAUUCUUAACUCCAGGGAGAUGUAAAACAGUGGCCAGGAAAGAUUUGGCCUGUGAGCUGUGGUUUGCUAACUCCUGUUUUAGAGUGUGAUUCUACAAAUGUGAACCCUGAAUCUGAGCUUGCAUAUCACCUGGGAACUUGUUAAGAAUGAAAAUUCUUUAAAAAUGUCUGAAUUAGAAACUCUGGGGAAUGGGGUCCAGCCAUCUUUUUUUCUAGAAGCCUUGCUGGUGAUUCUGAGCUGGUGAUUCUGAGAAGAAAUUUAACAACUUUCCUAUUCACAGAAGUCUCAGGAUUUCGAGAACGUGGGAUUGGCAAUGGAAUUUCUGUAAGUAUUGUUUUUGUUGAACAGGUACCUUGGGAGAAAGGAGAGGAGCAGCACUGAAAAUGUUUCCUCAAGCCUCACCUACUCCCAGGUGUCUUGGCGGGGACUCCAGGAACAAAUGCCUUCAAAAUGAGGAGAUAAUUUCAUUUCCAUCGCUAUCCUCAUUACCAAAUUGAAACCGGAGAUAAUGGCUUUCAUGUCACCUCACUUGCCAAGAUACACUCAAAACCCGUCAAGUCAGGUUGUCAAAACGACACCAGCAGCUAAAACAUACAAAGAGCCUCGGCCUCCAUCGCCACAAUCCCUGGCGGAUGCAGCACCAGAAACAGCAGCCGUGGCGUCUCAAAGUUUACGCACGCGUUUUUCAAAAUUAAAACUAUGCAUCUGCAAAUCACUCUGGCUGGCUUAAACCUCUUUUUCCCUUUCUAUGCCAACACCGGGGAGAAGAUCGUCCCAGACGCCAUUCGCCCAUUUCUGAUACCACUGAAGUCAUGAGCAGGUCUAACAAAAUAAAACAUCACCCAGCCGUCGGGAAGUAGAAGACUCCUGUUGCCAAGGAGAAACUAAGUUCUGCUCCUCCUAAGGCGCAAAAAUGACCUCGAGAUCUCCCCAGAAGGAAGCAGAGAGGAGGGAGUUCUGCCACAUGGAGAGGGUUUUGCUGGGCUAGGGAGACACCGCCGGGCUCAGCCUUUCCCUUCCUUUCUCUAACUUUCCCUCAUUUCGCUCCGCAAACUGAGUUAUAUCUCGGGGCUGUGGAAGGAAUCCAAUUUGGGGAACUCAGCAGCAAACCUUCC